rnacentral:rRNA from 1 species
GACGAACGCUGGCGGCGUGCUUAACACAUGCAAGUCGAACGGAAAGGCCCUGCUUUUGUGGGGUGCUCGAGUGGCGAACGGGUGAGUAACACGUGAGUAACCUGCCCUUGACUUUGGGAUAACUUCAGGAAACUGGGGCUAAUACCGGAUAGGAGCUCCUGCUGCAUGGUGGGGGUUGGAAAGUUUCGGUGGUUGGGGAUGGACUCGCGGCUUAUCAGCUUGUUGGUGGGGUAGUGGCUUACCAAGGCUUUGACGGGUAGCCGGCCUGAGAGGGUGACCGGCCACAUUGGGACUGAGAUACGGCACAGACUCCUACGGGAGGCAGCAGUGGGGAAUAUUGCACAAUGGGCGGAAGCCUGAUGCAGCAACGCCGCGUGCGGGAUGACGGCCUUCGGGUUGUAAACCGCUUUCGCCUGUGACGAAGCGUGAGUGACGGUAAUGGGUAAAGAAGCACCGGCUAACUACGUG